rnacentral:lncRNA from 1 species
AUGGCAGAUUCUGAUUUACUUAUUCCUUUCAUGUUUUAUAUUAAUCUGUUCAUGUACAGAAGAUAUAAGGUGUUCAGAUGUCUUAAUGGGAAUUCCCAGUUUACAGAAUAUGAUGUGCAUGGAUCUACUGCAUUGAUCUCCUCCUACCGCUUUCUGUGUAGGAAUUCUUAUGUCAGGCAUUUUUGUGGAAUAAAGAAGAUGGAACUCAGAGGCAGGCAAUGGAGAAUGUUGCUGAAAAUACAAUGCUAAAUACUGACAGAAGAAUUAUCAAAUUGUCCCUUUUCCUUUCUUCAGAACAGGAACAGACUUAUUUAGGCUGCUUUAAGACCGUACAGAUCCUUCAAAGAAUGUGCUGAUAGUAAUGUGCCCAUUCACAGCUGUUCUUAUUCCAGCAGCACUGAGGUGUAAGGAUGAAAAGGGAUAUCAAGCCCAGAAUAGGUCAAAAUGAAUCAGUUUAACUACCAGGCUGCUCACAAAGAUGGAACCUUAGCUCUGCUGUGUGAGAAGCUUUUCUCCUAGAAGAAAUACACAUUGCAGCAAGCACGUUUUAAUGUUAGUUUUUAACAGAGUAAGCCUACUGCCUCUUUCCUAUGAUGGAUGAUUUUCCUUCAUAGUCUAAAUGAACUAAUUUAUCCUUUUGUAAGCAGAAGCUUAGUAUGUCAACUUGCUAAUGGCAAUGAGAGUUGGAUGCAUGAACUGCAGCAAUGGAAGGCUUAUGGAUAUAGAUGAAAACUCUGCCAGAUGUAUGAAACUGAUAAUGAUUAGUCUGGAUUAAAUGUAAAAUUGAAUUCCUCUGAAUUUUACUAUUACAGAUUACUUAUAUUUGUAGUCACCUAUCAGUUCUUUUACUUAACAGUACGUUACUUUACUUUCUUUACUUUAACAAUGUUGUCUAGUAACUACAGCUAGAAAAUGGCAUCCUAAUCCUGUUUUUUGCUGAUAAGGACUGAUGCAUGUUAUUAAAUAUCUUACCAGUACAAUUGUUUGGAGGGUUUUUUGUUUGUUUAUUGGUUUUCUGGCAUUACCAUUAUAAGACCUCGAGCAAUCUUUAUGCUUUAUAUUUGCAUAUUUGUUUCAUUUCAUAUGAUGGAAGAAUUUAUAUUGUUUAUAUGUUUAUAGGUAUUA